rnacentral:tRNA from 1 species
GGGAAAAUAGCUUAAUUGGGUAGAGUCCUGGCCUGUCACGCCAGUGGGCGCGGGUUCGAACCCCGUUUUUCCCG